CUGCGGGCGCGGCGAGGAAGGGGCGCGGCUUAUGCGAGGCUACGGCAGCCGAUAGCGGUUGCGGAGCUCCGUCUGCCUCGGGCCUUUCCUUCCCGGGGUCGCUUCGUCCGCACGCUGCCUGCCCGCUCCUGUAAAGAGACACCUGGUUUUGAAUCUCCUUCAGAAUCAGCUGAAUCGUGGUGGAAUGUUUGCUCUGCUUACACAAACUUCUCCUCAAGACAAUGUGAAAUAUGUGACCAAACAUCAAGGUUUAAUCCCAGCUGGCAAUUAAGCACCACCCACCUGCUCACUCGCUCCCCUGCAGCAGGAUGAAGGAGAGAAUUGCCAGUGAGCAAACUCAUGAACUGAGCUUUCUCUUUCUAUUCUGAGAGGCCUCAGCCUGGUGACAUCAAAGACAGGAUUAUGUGAGAAGAUAAAAACUUGAUCUAAUGUCCAUGUUUGAAGUCAUGAAAGUCCUCUUCUCUUCAAGCCAAAAUAACCCUCCUUAAAAGCACAAUGAGCUCCAGUCCAGGUGCAGGAGGGGGGAAGGUUUCAGCAAGACACUGAAGAUAUGUCAGAAAAGCUAAAGAGUUGUACAUUAAACCAUAAUCUUUCUAAAUGUGCUAAGAGAUUGUAUGUAAGUUUUGAAAGCUUUGUCCUAUCAAUUAGUUUGUUAAGUCUUCUUUUUAAUUGAAGAAUGUUAUUAUGUAUGUAGCAUGUGGCUGAAUUGACCUUUAAUAAGAAUUUAACCUGUUUCACCUACUUAUAGGGAAAUCUACUUCAUGAUAUAUGAGGAAUCAAAAAAGGAGUAUUAAAACACAAGGUCAUCUAAGACUACACUGUGAACAUACAUUAUUGAUGUCUCUGCAUGUGACAGUUCUUUUCUGAUAUGGCUGAUAGGCUGCCUAUGGAUUACAGAAGGGCUUAAGAUGUAGGGCAAAAUUAUGGCCUUUUUAUACUUCAAAACUUGUCCCUGUCUGUGAGGUAAUCUUACAUUAAAAUAUUCUCUCAUGUGGAGAAAUUAUCUUCUCUCUAGUCUCUAAAAAUUGAGAUCAAUUGAAACUUUCACCUCAUAAAAAAUGUACAGUUUCAGUGCUUCAUAAAGAUUUUUGUCUUAAUGUCAGCAUCUGCUCUUGUAACAGUGAAGAAACUAUCUUGGACUUGGACAGUCUCAGCAGACCAAAGCAAGUGCAACUGUCCAGGUUAAAAUGCAAGCUGUUUGCUGUAAAAUUUAAUGGACAUCAGAUACUAAUGAAAAUGUUUGCCUUUCAUACAGUCUAUGGCCUUGCUAUGUGGUCGUCUCUUUGCUCUGCAUUUUCAGCUUUUUACACAUAUUCACUAACAGAAGAAGUACAUAGCAGGUUUUCAGUUCAUAACUGUGGACAAUCAGAUGCAACAACAUGAAUAAUAAGUAAUAGACCAUAUGCCUGAUAUUUGCCACAGCCUCAAUUCCAGCAUCAGACAAUUCACAAUAGUUUUGUCUUACUCAGUUCUACUCUACUGUUGGGGGAAGAUUUCUCUGCGGUUUAUUUGCCAUAACUAUAAAG